GUGAAUCAUCAAAUUUUUGAACGCAAAUUGCACUCUUCGGUUUUCCGGGAGAGAAUGCUUGUUUGGGGGCCUGUUUAAAAAAUAAUCGAGGCUGCUGCUGUGGUGGCUCUUCGGAAUUGGGACAUCUUUCUACUUUCGGUUGUUAGUGACCUAAAUUUCUUUUUACGAUUUCUAAGAACGUGCUUUAGA
rnacentral:misc_RNA from 1 species